CCUACGGGGGGCAGCAGUGAGGAAUAUUGGUCAAUGGGCGAGAGCCUGAACCAGCCAAGUCGCGUGAGGGAGUACUGCCCUAUGGGUUGUAAACCUCUUUUGUCGGGGAGCAAAAGCCGGACGUGGCCGGCUGUGAGGGUACCCGAAGAAAAAGCAUCGGCUAACUCCGUGCCAGCAGACGCGGUAAUACGGAGGAUGCGAGCGUGAUCGGGAUUUAUUGGGUGUUAAGGGUGCGCAGGCGGAUUUUUAAGUCAUCGGUAAAAUCGUGGGGCUCAACCCCAUCCAGCCGUUGAAGCUGGGGAUCUAGAGUGUGCGAGAGGUAUGCGGAAUGCGUGGUGUAGCGGUGAAAUGCAUAGAUAUCACGCAGAACCCCGAUUGCGAAGGCAGCAUACCGGUGCACAACUGACGCUCAGGCACGAAAGCGUGGGUAUCGAACAGGAUUAGAUACCCCGGUAGUC
rnacentral:rRNA from 1 species